rnacentral:rRNA from 1 species
UAGGGAAUUUUGCGCAAUGGAGGAAACUCUGACGCAGCAACGCCAUGUGUGGGAUGAAGCAUUUCGGUGUGUAAACCACUGUCAGCGGGGAAUAAAUAGCUUCUUCGGAGGCGAUUGAAUGUACCCGCAAAGGAAGCCCCGGCUAACUUCGUGCCAGCAGCCGCGGUAAUACGAGGGGGGCAAAUGUUGUUCGGAAUCACUGGGCGUAAAGGGAGCGUAGGCGGGCUUUUAAGUUAGGUGUUUAAUCCCGGGGCCCAACCCCGGUCGUGCACUUAAAACUGGAAGUCUUGAAUAGUGGAGAGGUCAGUGGAAUUGGGGGUGUAGCGGUGGAAUGCGUAGAGAUCCCCAAGAACACCAGUUGCGAAGGCGGCUGACUGGACACAUAUUGACGCUGAGGCUCGAAAGCAUGGGGAGCAAACAG